rnacentral:rRNA from 1 species
AGGCCGUAGCGAUGACAAGCCGGUUAAUAUUCCGGCACUGGCUGUAUGACUGCGAAUGUGACGAAAGAGUGACAGGUUCGCGCACUGACGGAAUAGUGCGUUUAAGGGUGUAGAAGCGAUUCGAACCUGAAAGUACACUGAACCUUCGGGGGAAGUGAUAGUGACCGUAAUCAAAUUUCCAAGAAAAGCAUUUCAAGGAUAUCAUACAGGCACCCGUACCGUAAACCGACACAGGUGGUUGGGUAGAAAAUACUAAGGCGCUCGGGAGAUCCAUGGCCAAGGAACUCGGCAAAUUAGACCUGUAACUUCGGGAUAAAGGUCGCUCACUGCAAGGUGAGCCGCAGAGAAUAGGCCCAGGCGACUGUUUACCAAAAACACAGGGCUUUGCCAAAUCGUAAGAUGAUGUAUAAGGCCUGACACCUGCCCGGUGCUGGAAGGUUAAGGGGG